rnacentral:rRNA from 1 species
GACGAACGCUGGCGGCGUGCCUAAUACAUGCAAGUCGAACGCUGAAGGAGGAGCUUGCUUCUCCGGAUGAGUUGCGAACGGGUGAGUAACGCGUAGGUAACCUGCCUGGUAGCGGGGGAUAACUAUUGGAAACGAUAGCUAAUACCGCAUAAGAGUAGAUGUUGCAUGACAUUUGCUUAAAAGGUGCAAUUGCAUCACUACCAGAUGGACCUGCGUUGUAUUAGCUAGUUGGUGGGGUAACGGCUCACCAAGGCGACGAUACAUAGCCGACCUGAGAGGGUGAUCGGCCACACUGGGACUGAGACACGGCCCAGACUCCUACGGGAGGCAGCAGUAGGGAAUCUUCGGCAAUGGACGGAAGUCUGACCGAGCAACGCCGCGUGAGUGAAGAAGGGUUUCGGAUCGUAAAGCUCUGUUGUAAGAGAAGAACGAGUGUGAGAGUGGAAAGUUCACACUGUGACGGUAUCUUACCAGAAAGGGACGGCUAACUACGUG